rnacentral:rRNA from 1 species
UGGGGAAUUUUGGACAAUGGGCGAAAGCCUGAUCCAGCAAUGCCGCGUGUGUGAAGAAGGCCUUCGGGUUGUAAAGCACUUUUGUCCGGAAAGAAAUCCUUGGGCUCUAAUACAGUCGGGGGAUGACGGUACCGGAAGAAUAAGCACCGGCUAACUACGUGCCAGCAGCCGCGGUAAUACGUAGGGUGCAAGCGUUAAUCGGAAUUACUGGGCGUAAGCGUGCGCAGGCGGUUUGCUAAGACCGAUGUGAAAUCCCCGGGCUCAACCUGGGAACUGCAUUGGUGACUGGCAGGCUAGAGUAUGGCAGAGGGGGGUAGAAUUCCACGUGUAGCAGUGAAAUGCGUAGAGAUGUGGAGGAAUACCGAUGGCGAAGGCAGCCCCCUGGGCCAAUACUGACGCUCAUGCACGAAAGCGUGGGGAGCAAACAGGAUUAGAUACCCUGGUAGUCCACGCCCUAAACGAUGUCAACUAGUUGUUGGGGAUUCAUUUCCUUAGUAACGUAGCUAACGCGUGAAGUUGACCGCCUGGGGAGUACGGUCGCAAGAUUAAACUUAAUGAAUUGACGGGGUCAUAGCUGUUUCCU